rnacentral:rRNA from 1 species
UAGUCCUAGCCGUAAACGAUGGGCACUUGAUGUGGGGGGUAUGAAUUCCCUCCGUGUCGGCGAUAACUCGUUAAGUGCCCCGCCUGGGGAGUACGAUCGCAAGAUUGAAACUCAAAGGAAUUGACGGGGGCCCGCACAAGCGGUGGAGCAUGUGGUUUAAUUCGACGCAACGCGAAGAACCUUACCGGGGUUUGAACUGUAGUGGAUCCCGGCAGAGAUGUCGGUUUCCCUUAGGGGACUGCUACGGAGGUGCUGCAUGGCUGUCGUCAGCUCGUGUCGUGAGAUGUUGGGUUAAGUCCCGCAACGAGCGCAACCCUUGUCUGUAGUUGCCAUCAGGUAAAGCUGGGCACCCUACGGAGACUGUCGGCGAGAAGCCGGAGGAAGGUGGGGAUGACGUCAAGUCCUCAUGGGCCUUUAUGUCCCGGGGCUACACACGUGCUACAAUGGGGCGGUACAAAGAGCAGCCAAACUCGCAAGAGUGAGCGGAAUCUCAAAAAGCCGUACCUCAGUUCGGGAUUGCA